rnacentral:rRNA from 1 species
GAUGAACGCUGGCGGCGUGCCUAAUACAUGCAAGUCGAGCGAAUGGAUUAAGAGCUUGCUCUUAUGAAGUUAGCGGCGGACGGGUGAGUAACACGUGGGUAACCUGCCCAUAAGACUGGGAUAACUCCGGGAAACCGGGGCUAAUACCGGAUAACAUUUUGAACCGCAUGGUUCGAACUUGAAAGGUGGCUUCGGCUGUCACUUAUGGAUGUACCGGCGUCGCAUUAGCUAGUUGGUGAGGUAACGGCUCACCAAGGCAACGAUGCGUAGCCGACCUGAGAGGGUGAUCGGCCACACUGGGACUGAGACACGGCCCAGACUCCUACGGGAGGCAGCAGUAGGGAAUCUUCCGCAAUGGACGAAAGUCUGACGGAGCAACGCCGCGUGAGUGAUGAAGGCUUUCGGGUCGUAAAACCCUGUUGUUAGGGAAGAACAAGUGCUAGCUGAAUAAGCUGGCACCUUGACGGUACCUAACCAGAAAGCCACGGCUAACUACGUGCCAGCCGCCGCGGUAA